CACCUAGAAGGUGGCAAAUUUGAUUUUGAAAAAUAUAAAUUGGAAAGUUUUCCAGAGGGAAACGUUACAUCUGAUCUAAAUUUAAAUUGUGGUUCAGGUAGAAUAAUUCGUGUCAUGAUAUCGAAUCUUCCAUUUAAAGCCAAUACUAAUGAAAUUUUAGACUUUUUCCAUGGUUAUAAUGUCCUACCUGAUUCAGUUUCAAUACAGUAUAAUGAGGAAGGAUUACCUUUAGGAGAAGCUAUUGUUUCUAUGACAAAUUAUAAUGAAGCUCUGGCUGCUGUUAAAGAUCUAAGUGGUAGACCAGUUGGUCCCCGCAAGGUUAAACUCAGUUUACUUUAGAGGGCCUUUCUAAGUAAGCAUUUUUCUUCCACAGUAUUGAUGUAGUAAAAGUAUAGGUUGUUUUUUUAAGUUUAAAUUAUUUAAAAAGUUUAAGUUGUUUACAGGUUAAAAUGUGUUGUGCAAGUCUGGUUUGCUUAUUAAUGGACAUGUUUUUACUCCAUGAUUUAAAAUUACAUAUGUUUUGUUUUUGAAUGGGGAAUUUCCCGCAUUCAUUUGGUUCCUUGACGUUAUAGAUAAAAUUUAGUCUUGUAAAAAGUGUUGUUACAUUUGUCGAUGGUGAAUUUAUUUUUGACUUUGUUUUUAACAUCUUUUUCUCAGACCAUAUAAGGAAAUGAAGGCUGACUGAUGAAUCAGGAGUGCACAUUGGAGCCACCCUAACACUACGAGGAUAACAGCAGUCUGGACUUGCAGUACUCCUAAAUGUUUUCAAUGUUUCCCAAGUCUCCUUAUUUCUACUUAGCCUAUUUUCCUAACAGAUGACCAUUCAAGAUCAUCAGGUGAGAAUUUUGAACACCUUCCUACAAACUCUUCCACUUUUUUUUUAAUUGAAGUUUUAUU